rnacentral:rRNA from 1 species
AGCGAACGCUGGCGGCAGGCUUAACACAUGCAAGUCGAGCGGGCGUAGCAAUACGUCAGCGGCAGACGGGUGAGUAACGCGUGGGAACGUACCUUUUGGUUCGGAACAACACAGGGAAACUUGUUCUAAUACCGGAUAAGCCCUUCCGGGGAAAGAUUUAUCGCCGUAAGAUCGGCCCGCGUCUGAUUAGCUAGUUGGUGAGGUAACGGCUCACCAAGGCGACGAUCAGUAGCUGGUCUGAGAGGAUGAUCAGCCACAUUGGGACUGAGACACGGCCCAAACUCCUACGGGAGGCAGCAGUGGGGAAUAUUGGACAAUGGGGGCAACCCUGAUCCAGCCAUGCCGCGUGAGUGAUGAAGGCCCUAGGGUUGUAAAGCUCUUUUGUGCGGGAAGAUAAUGACGGUACCGCAAGAAUAAGCCCCGGCUAACUUCGUG